UACGUAGGGUGCAAGCGUUAAUCGGAAUUACUGGGCGUAAAGCGUGCGCAGGCGGUUGUGCAAGACCGAUGUGAAAUCCCCGGGCUUAACCUGGGAAUGGCAUUGGUGACUGCACGGCUAGAGUGUGUCAGAGGGGGGUAGAAUUCCACGUGUAGCAGUGAAAUGCGUAGAGAUGUGGAGGAAUACCGAUGGCGAAGGCAGCCCCCUGGGAUAACACUGACGCUCAUGCACGAAAGCGCGGGGAGCAAACAGG
rnacentral:rRNA from 1 species